rnacentral:lncRNA from 1 species
GGAUGUGAGACGAGAGCUGUGUGAGACUUUGAGAGAGAGUCAUUAAACAUUGUUUGUAUAUGUUUUUAUCGUUCUCAUCCCUAAUCAAUAGAUAUUGAAUCUUUUGGUUACGUGUGUUCUUAUUUUAAACUUUGUUUGGUUUGCACCGUCACGGGGAUUCCGCACCCGUUACCGUGUUCUUGAUAAACAAGGAUAGGUUUACGUUAUCGAUCCACCGGAAAAACGGGACCUACAAUUGGUAUCAGAGCCGUGGCUCUUUUCCUUGUUUAAAACCAAACAUUGUCGUGUUUGAAACAAGUGGUUUUUAGUGAUUUUUCAGUGUUUGUUCUUGAAAAGUUUAUAUAUUUUCUGGAAAAAGUCACUAAAAUCAGUGUUUAUUUUGUUGUUUUGCUAAAAGUUUGUUCAAAAACCUUGUUUGUUUGAGUGAUUACAUAUUAGCAUUUGGUUUUUGUUGAAAGUUUUAAGCAAAAUCGUUUUCGGAAAAUUUAUCCGGUGAAAACUUGGCCAGAAUAUUCAAGUUGUUCUUGUCUAUCUUCAUAGUGUUCUUGGUUUAUUCAAACUGUUCUUGAAUUAUAUAUGUUGUUUGACUUUCGUGUACACUUGAAUGAUGAGUAGUUGAAAAAGAUGUAUGAUAAGGUAUGGUCUAGUUUGAAUUUGUGUGCCCUUGUCAGACAAAAGGAUAAGCCUACUUUGAAAAUAUCACACCAACUCACUGACCUUAUCACUUUGUUGGUUUAAAAAAAAAAAUUAUUAUAAAUAAUAUAAAGAAAUAAACAGGUUUCGUCGAUGAUUGUUUGACACCAUUUCAUUUCGUCAAAACACUGCUGGGCCGACACAUUUAAUUAUAUUCUAAUUGGGCCAAAAUAUCCACUUUCAUCUUAUAUUUAUAUAUGGAUUAUCAGGUGCUGGGCCGAUUCUUAAUUUAGUUACUUACAACUGGGCCAACAUUUUUUUUGUUUAAUUAUUCUCAUCAUUCAACAUUAAAAAAUCAACACACAUUAGAGGUUUAAUCAAAUAAAGUUUCGUCGACCUUUU